rnacentral:rRNA from 1 species
AUGGAGGCGGAGGCAGAGUGUGGUAGCGCCGGCGGGUGGUCGAAGGUGGGAACAUCGCUUCCCGUCACGAGCGUGCAGGCUCUGGUGGCGUCCGCCGUUGAGCUGACGGCCGACAAGAUCGGACGGUAUAUCCAGCCAGACAUUGACGCGCACGCCGUCCUCCCCGAGCUGUCCGACGAGGUUCCGGUGAUCGACAUCAGCAAGCUCUUGAGCGCCGAGUCCGCUGAAGCAGAAACCGCCAAGCUCAGAUUUGCCUGCGCGGAGUGGGGCUUCUUUCAGGUUGUAAAUCAUGGAAUACCGAUUGAAGUCAUAAUGGGUAUAAAGCAGGACAUUCAAAAUUUCUUUCAACUCCCCCUCGAAGUUAAGAAUAAAUAUGCUCAACGCCUAGGGGAUCUUCAAGGGUAUGGCCAAGUGUUUGUUGUCUCUGAUGACAAGCUAGAAUGGGGUGACAGGUUUGCCCUCUUCAUUCAACCACCCCAAGCUCGUGAUAUGAGUUACUGGCCAAGUCAACCUCAUACUUUCAGGAAUUGUAUUGAACAAUACUCUUCAGAGGUGAUGAAAUUCACGCAUUCUCUUGCCAUCUUGAUUGCAAAAACACUAGAUGUUGAUCCGGAAUUGGUGGCAGACAAACAUGCGUCUCAAUUUCUCAGGAUGAACUACUACCCUCCAUGCACGUCAACCCCAGAAAAGGUUCUAGGCUUGUCACCGCAUUCCGAUGGAUCUUUUCUCACUAUUCUGCUAGAAGUUAAUUCAGUUCAAGGCUUACAAAUUAGAAGGCAUGGUGCAUGGAUUCCCGUGAAACCACAUUGUGAUGCACUAUUGGUGAAUGUGGGCGACCUUCUUGAGAUUAUGACAAAUGGGAAGUACAAGAGCAUUGAGCACAGGGUCACCAUAAAUGCCCACAAGGAGCGACUAUCCAUAUCAGCAUUUCAAAUCCCAAAUUAUGAUGGAAUUAUUUCACCAAUUUUAGAAAAUGCAGAAGAGAAGAUAUUAUACAAGACAAUGAAAGUAGGAGAGUAUUUAAGACUUUAUUUCUCAAACAAACUAGAAGGAAAGAGAGCCCUGGAUUAUGCGAAGUUAUCCGAAAUUUAA